AUUACUUUGGCAGAAUAGUGCAUUAAAUUUAGAAUUUAAAUAUGUAGUUUUACAAGUAAUA
rnacentral:tRNA from 1 species